rnacentral:rRNA from 1 species
UACGGAGGGGGUUAGCGUUGUUCGGAAUUACUGGGCGUGAAGCGUACGUAGGCGGCUUUGUAAGUUAGAGGUGAAAGCCCAGAGCUCAACUCUGGAAUUGCCUUUAAGACUGCAUCGCUUGAAUCGUGGAGAGGUUAGUGGAAUUCCGAGUGUAGAGGUGAAAUUCGUAGAUAUCGAGAAGAACACCGGUGGCGAAGGCGGCCAUCUGGACAGAUACUGACGCUGAGACGCGAAAGCGUGGGGAGCAAACAGGG